CAACACUGAACAUUUAUUUUAUCCAGGAAGAUUUGAGUUUGUGCAUAUCAAUCUUUAUCUGUAGAAAAAAUUAAGUUUUAAUCAAUUAUUUUUUUCUAGUCUCCCCUGGAAUCAGAAUUCCGUUAUUGGAUGGAUUGGAAUGAUAAUAUUUGUAGUGUUUGCAAGUCCAAUCUAUUUCUUUAUAAACGGUAUUUUCCUUUCAUUCUUCACAUCAAUUUGCUCAUUCCACGAAGCGUUCUAUUUAAAUUCAAAAAUAUAUUGCGCAAACUGGAUGAACUAACUGAUGAUGAACAAAUACCAUCGAACGAAUUGAAAGUUAAGGCACUCUUAUGUGAAAUUAUUCGAAAUAACACCAAAGGAAAGGAAUUUUUGAAACAAAGUAUUCAGUUCUAUCUUCUAUUCGCCGUUUAUUUUUCUUCAAGUGGUUUUUGAUGUAAUAUAUUUGACAAGUGCCAUAUUUCAAAUGCACAUGGCUGUAAACUAUCGGAACACAGAUCAUAGCAGUAAUUAAUGGGUCCUCAAAUUUACUUGUUUAUUGUUACGUGGCCUUCAAAGCAAGUGACUAUUACGCAAGCAUAGCAGAUUUACUUUAUCUAUCAAAUUGGAAUAAAUUACCGAUGAAAAAUCAGAAAAUAAUUAUGUUGAUGAUUCGAGAUGCCCAACAUUCCAUUCAUCGAUACCAUGGUUUGCGCCACAUCAAAAUCGAUUUGGGCACAUUUACACAGAUUUCAAAAAGCAUCUUCGGGCUUUACAUGUAAAACUUCUCGGCUCGUGUUCCCAAAAUGUAUGGCAUGUUGGUCUAGAAUUCUACCGAAUCUACACAUUGGUGAAUAUGCAAGCAAACGGAAUGUUCAAUGGCAAACGAUAACAGAAAACUGAUUUUUUACUGCAAUAAUAUGCAUUUGGAUUACAUUCAACUUUUGAUUUCGAUUGAACCAUAUAAAACGUUUAUGAAGACGCAUCCGAUUGCAUUACAUUUUGUGAAUUUAAAUGCGCAAAAUGAAAUGCUUCCAGCUGAUUGGUACAAAGUACCAGCAUCAGUAAAGCAUCACAUAAAAAGACUUUACAUUCGAAAUGGCAACAUUGCAUCAAUUGAAUCGAAUGCAUUUAAUUCAAAAGCAUUCAAACGACUUUACUAUCUUGAAUUGGAUGGCUUGCCCAUCAAACAUUUCAAACGAAAUACAUUUAAUGGUUUAUUUUUCUUAAGGAUAUUGAUACUACGCCAUUUGCAUUUGUAUACGUUUCCAUCGAAUUCGUUUAUUCCAAACGUAAACGUGGCAUGGAAUAAAAAUGAAUUACAGAAGAUUCUCGAUUUUAAUCAAUAUUCGGCACGAAACGAAAAAAUCAACAAUGACAAUUGUACAUAUUUCGGUGAUAAGAGCAUCACUUUAAACAUUUCACCGUGUUUGAAGAUCUUAUAUUUGAACAAUGACAACAGAUCGAUUUCUCCGUGGAUUGUUUUGAAACAAUUUAAAUUGGCUGUGAUUAUCAUAUUUUUAAGCAGCUUAUUCUCGUUUUUCAUUGGCAUAAAAUUGUCAUUUAAAAUUCUACAAAUAUAUCGACAAGUCUGGCGACAGUGCAAGAAAUUCAUACAAAAUCUGGAAAACGAUGCCGCAUCAAUGUUUAUUGAAAGUGAUUUUGUGAUGAAUAAAAUCAACGUUAAGAGAAUACGAAAGCUUCAUUUAUCUGAAUAAUAGUUCAAUAUUUCAGGAUGAAAUCAAUAUGAUUCUGUAAAAUUUUCUUCAAUAUUAUUUCACUAUCACUCAUGAAUCAAAAGAUACUAAAAACAUAUCGGCGGAAAUUGUAUGCAAAUGUUAAGCUAAAAAUAUCUCCAUUUAAACAAUGAAUUUUUGAACCGACGUUACACAUGUAAUAAAUGUCUUUAUUGGCGAUAGAACUUAUAACAUUUUAAAUUGUGUUUCAUUUCGUUUUCAAUUCAUUAUUUUACUUUAACUUUGUUAUAUUGAAUUUCUGUUCAUAUUUUGCAAAAUUAUAAAAUGAUAGGACAAUAACUAAUAAUCCAUAACUUUGUUUUUGAAAAAAUUUCUUAAAAUUAUUUACCAUCUCAAUGAUAUUUCUCAUUUCUAUUUUACUAAUAAAGAAAAAAAAAUUAACUUUAAUGUAAAUUGUCUGAAUUAUAUGAAAAUAUUAGUGGACCUUGUCUGAAAAAAAUAAAAGUCAAAUUUGUUUUUGCUGCAAAAUGCAUUGAAGUUGAAUGGCUAAUAUCAUAUUAGCGUCGAGAAGCGAAAGUGUUCCAGAGCAUAUGCAAAUUGUGUUGCAUCAUCAUUGUGUCUUGAACGGGGUGGAAGUGAUCAUGAGUUUCCAAAAAUCUGGCUGCAUCUCGUUCAUAGGAUGCAAUUUGUUCCGGCUGGAGCGUACGAAUUUCUUCCAAAUCCAUCCAAGUCGGUUCGAUAGCUCUUACGUACAAUGGAUUUUCGCUGAAAUCGUUUCCAGAAAAUGGUGACCAAUUUGAAUUCGAAGAAAUAACGCAGCUACACUUGAAAAAGUAAUGAUAUUCUAGGAAUAAUCCACGAUUUUGAUGUGGAAUGAACUCGUACAGAGUGGCGCCCGGACUUGAACAAAAAAAAAAAAAACAGAAAAAACCAUCAAAGAAUGAAAUCAAAAUAAACGCAUCAAAAUAACUUACAAAUAGAAACCGAAGAGCUGUUGACCUUUUUUGAUGGGUCGAAUCACUCUACAAAUCAGGCGAUGAUCAACAAAAUACCAGCAAACAUUCGGAAUACAAGAAUGGUUAAUGUAGCAUCCGAAAGCAUACAUUCCAUUGCCGAAUGUACGUAGGGCAAACGAUCCCAAAUGUUGAUCGUGUACUUCUUGCCAGUAUUCGCUUGCGUUUAUUGCAUGCUCAGCAACGUGAAAAAAAUGAAGAAUCAAGUGUUGCAAGAAACGACGAUGUUCCAAAGAUGUAAAUUUUCCAUUGAAAUCUGGUAAACGCAUGACUUUAUCAAAGGCAAGUUUUGUGGCACUUCGGGCAAGUUUCAAUUUUCGGGUCCAUUGAUUACCGGAAUGGGUAGGUAGCUGAAAAAUCAGGCUGAAAUUUUUUUGAUCAUCGUUUUGGUGUCCGCUCACACUGUUACCAGCUAGCAGUAAUUUGACCGUCUGCAUUAGGUCAUUUACACAUGGAAAUGCAUCAUUUGCGUGGUACAGCAUUCUUAACACCAACCCAAAUGUUUCUUUUUUCGUCCAAUUGUCAGGCAUUCCGCAAUCGUAUUUAUGAUAGGCCUUUUCCAUGCAAACGUCAUUGCAAAACAAAGCGCCAGCACAAUUUUUACAUGGAAUCAAAUUGUUACAUUCUGCAUAACAAUACAUGCAUCGUGCAAAUGUAUUUUUACCAGAUCGGUUGUGCUCUAUGAUACGUGAUUUAUCAACAAAAGGGUCAUGCAUUUGCGAAUGAUCUGGUUCCAUUGGUUCAUGCGUGAAAGCGAAUGGUUUUUCAAUCAAAACAGUUUGACCAAUUGUCAAAUCUCUUGUAGUGACGACAUGCCGACCAAAUUUUGAGUUCUUUACAAUUUUUAAGCAAUCAGCAACACCAGGAUGACUUUCGUUUUCAUUAAAGUCCAAUUGCGGUUCACGAAUAUAUGAUUCAUUGACUGAUUGGUUCAUGUUUUCCUUGCAAUUUUGCUCACGAGUGUUUAGUUUUGACAUUUUCGCAGAUGGAUAUUCAGCCUGCUUUGCCAGUUCAAUGUCAAUCAAACAUUCUGGAAAAUGUUUCAGAUGCAUGAAACAUGUCGAUCGAUUCGCAUAUGCCAAUGCCAAUGCUUCGGAACCAUUUUCAGCGUACGAAAUACUUUCAUUAUACCAGGCUAUUGCUUCGUGGUACUUCUUUUUACCGAACAAUUCGUUGCCUUUGUUACGUAAUUUGUUUGCAGUCACAUUAUUUUUAAUCAAUUUUUCGUAAUUUACCGAUCCACGGUCUUGCAUUGGACAAAUUUCAACGAACAGAUUGUCAUUCGGCGCCGGCUCUUUGCACCACAAAGUGUAUAAAUUGUCAUUUGCCAUCUGAAAUUAAUUCAUACAACAUUAAUUAAAACACUGACAACUGAUUUCAAUUACAAAUUUUUGCACAAAAAUAAAAACUACUGACUAUAAACUGAAAGUGAACAAAAACUGUUAGCAACCACUUUACUGUAGAACAAACAAAAAGCUAAAAAACUCUCUAUAUUUUAAUGUUUUAUUUGACACAGAAAUGUCAUUCGAGUAGCAUCCAGAACUCGCGUGGUUUCAACUCAACAAUUACAAACCGAAUGAGAACCGACGUAUAAGAAGUCAGUAUGAUCAACUUAAAAAAAAAAA